GCGAGCUUGGCGGAAUGGUAGACGCACGAGACUUAAAAUCUCGGGUCCGUUUAGGGCGUGCGGGUUCAAGUCCCGCAGUUCGCACCA
rnacentral:tRNA from 1 species